CAUGCUCGUGUGCAUCGAACUGUUGAAAGGCGAUCUCAUCAUUGGAAGCCCAUGCACGUUCUUUUGUGCUAUGGGUAACGGUCGGGUUCCUGUGCUGCGUACCCACUAAAGUGGAAAUCGAUUAUGUUGGUAGGUUUACAUUCGCCCAUGCCUGUCAAGGGCAUGCGGUGAACAUGGAAGCACCACUUGUGUUCCAAACAUGUUCAUGCAACUGUUAUGGCACAUUGGUAGGUUGCUCGUGGUCUCGGAUGCGGAAAUUGUUUUGUAGCUGAGGGAUCGGAUCUCUCAAUUGCUCGAAAUGUCCAUUAUAUACGAACGACAUGCAACGCUUGUUUCCAUAGGGAUUGGAGGCAGCGUUGCGUUCGUGAAAGGAAUGC
rnacentral:misc_RNA from 1 species